GAUGAACGCUGGCGGCGUGCCUAAUACAUGCAAGUCGAGCGAACGGACGAGAAGCUUGCUUCUCUGAUGUUAGCGGCGGACGGGUGAGUAACACGUGGAUAACCUACCUAUAAGACUGGGAUAACUUCGGGAAACCGGAGCUAAUACCGGAUAAUAUUUUGAACCGCAUGGUUCAAAAGUGAAAGACGGUCUUGCUGUCACUUAUAGAUGGAUCCGCGCUGCAUUAGCUAGUUGGUAAGGUAACGGCUUACCAAGGCAACGAUGCAUAGCCGACCUGAGAGGGUGAUCGGCCACACUGGAACUGAGACACGGUCCAGACUCCUACGGGAGGCAGCAGUAGGGAAUCUUCCGCAAUGGGCGAAAGCCUGACGGAGCAACGCCGCGUGAGUGAUGAAGGUCUUCGGAUCGUAAAACUCUGUUAUUAGGGAAGAACAUAUGUGUAAGUAACUGUGCACAUCUUGACGGUACCUAAUCAGAAAGCCACGGCUAACUACGUGCCAGCAGCCGCGGUAAUACGUAGGUGGCAAGCGUUAUCCGGAAUUAUUGGGCGUAAAGCGCGCGUAGGCGGUUUUUUAAGUCUGAUGUGAAAGCCCACGGCUCAACCGUGGAGGGUCAUUGGAAACUGGAAAACUUGAGUGCAGAAGAGGAAAGUGGAAUUCCAUGUGUAGCGGUGAAAUGCGCAGAGAUAUGGAGGAACACCAGUGGCGAAGGCGACUUUCUGGUCUGUAACUGACGCUGAUGUGCGAAAGCGUGGGGAUCAAACAGGAUUAGAUACCCUGGUAGUCCACGCCGUAAACGAUGAGUGCUAAGUGUUAGGGGGUUUCCGCCCCUUAGUGCUGCAGCUAACGCAUUAAGCACUCCGCCUGGGGAGUACGACCGCAAGGUUGAAACUCAAAGGAAUUGACGGGGACCCGCACAAGCGGUGGAGCAUGUGGUUUAAUUCGAAGCAACGCGAAGAACCUUACCAAAUCUUGACAUCCUUUGACAACUCUAGAGAUAGAGCCUUCCCCUUCGGGGGACAAAGUGACAGGUGGUGCAUGGUUGUCGUCAGCUCGUGUCGUGAGAUGUUGGGUUAAGUCCCGCAACGAGCGCAACCCUUAAGCUUAGUUGCUGUCAUUAAGUUGGGCACUCUAAGUUGACUGCCGGUGACAAACCGGAGGAAGGUGGGGAUGACGUCAAGUCAUCAUGCCCCUUAUGAUUUGGGCUACACACGUGCUACAAUGGACAAUACAAAGGGCAGCGAAACCGCGAGGUCAAGCAAAUCCCAUAAAGUUGUUCUCAGUUCGGAUUGUAGUCUGCAACUCGACUACAUGAAGCUGGAAUCGCUAGUAAUCGUAGAUCAGCAUGCUACGGUGAAUACGUUCCCGGGUCU
rnacentral:rRNA from 1 species